GAGCCCCACCUAUACAGACAUGGGGAUCCUGGCCAGAGCAAUGCUGUCUAACAAUACCAGGCCAGGGUCUCACUAUGUGGCUCAGGCUGUCCUUAAACCUGCAGCCCUGCCCAGCAUGUCUCAAGCCUAUAAUCCCAGAAUUCAGAAGGCUGAGGAGCUGCGCGGACUUCUGAGAUUUCUCCAUCCCAGCCUGCUGUGGGCACCCCCUGUCAUGCUAUGCUGUCCCCAGCACCUGAAGCUCCAACUGCAAGAAUACCAGGAAAGUCAGACCAGGGGGAGAAAGGACAGUGCUUCAGAAGGGAGGCCAGCUGGAUGGAGAUGCCACUGGAAUGCUCACUUGCUCCCUGCUCUGUGGUGGCUGAGGACUGGAUGAAAGUGGUAAGGGCAGGGACCCUAAGUGACCUUGCUAUGCCUUCCCUCCUCAUUUGCUCAAGAUGGUGGAAUUGGGAGAAGAACCAUCCGGGAGGCCAGCCUCAGCCCAACACGAGACCCCCCAGGCAGCCCUCCAGAUGUUUGUCGACAGCUUCCUUCUUGCCUCUCUGAGGUUGGAACCUGGGACAGUGCAAAGCUGCCUUUGAGGAGAGGCUUUUCUAGGAAGGAAGAAAUCCAGCCCGGAACCCCAACUGGGUCACCUUCCUUAGAAUGACCAAAACCAGGGUGGGUAAGAGGGCCUGUUGUUCCUAUCCCAGUCCACGGCGCUUCCUCGAUAGCCUAUGUCUCUCUAGACUUCUUGCUCUCUCCUCCAGUGCAUUCCGACAGCCCACACAACAGAGAACUUUGAGAAGAAAAACUGAGGGCAGAACGCACAAACUCAUCUUGCCCCAGGUCGCUCAGCCUUGACUGGUAAAUCUACCCUACUUGGAUGUGAACCCAGACGCCCUGCCUCGACACCCUCCUGAAGCCUUAAUCUCACAGUCAACAAUCACACAAUUCCAGUAAAAGGGUGGCUUUGGGUGGCGAAGCUUAUCCACCGUUCAUUCAGUCAACAUCAGCUCAGCACUGUGGGUCAUCAGACACCCCGCUCAGAGCUGGGGAAAUAAAGACUCCAUAAUAAGGAGGCUCGGAGCUGGGGAAACAAAAGACCAUGGAUCUACCCCUGAAGAGUUCAGUUGAGCAAACACUAUUUGUCAACAGACCACGACCAUAGCUAUGACAGCUGGGCUGAUCCACCUGAUACUAAUUUGGAGAAAUGUGGAUUCACAUUGGCUUCCCCUGACUUUCCUUUCCUUAAGGCUGGAAGCGUCUGUGUUGACUGGACCAGACUCAUAGGCCUAAUACCUUGACCUGGCUUGUCUCUUAGCUGGAGGACUUGUGCCACCAUCUGGGUUGCAAAGCAAGUGUCACCCUGGCAGUCCUACAGUACAGUAGUCAGACUGCUGUAUGCGCCAGGGGAUGUGACCAGACUCACAGGAGCAUGGAGGAUUCUGUACUCAGAACACUUAAGUGGGCUGAGCCUAAAAGAAGUGAGUGAUAGGCUAGAGCUCUUACUGUCUGGUUUCCAGCACCCAACAGCGGCACACACCUGGCUGUUAACUCCAGUUCCAGGGAUUCUGACGCCCUCUUCUGGCCUCCAAUGGCACUGCAUACAUACGGUGUAAGUAUAUCUCAGGCAAACCACUAUACAAGUAAAUAAAUCAUAAAAAGGAAAAAGAGGUGCUUGAGAGAUGGCUCAGCAGUUAAGAACACUGACUGC